rnacentral:rRNA from 1 species
UACGUAGGAUGCAAGCGUUGUCCGGUUUUAUUGGGUUUAAAGGGUGAGUAGGCGGCCUAUUAAGUUAGUGGUGAAAACGUUCGGCUUAACCGGAUACCCGCCAUUGAUACUGAUAGACUUGAGUGCGACAGAGGGUGUUGGAAUGUGUGGUGUAGCGGUGAAAUGCUUAGAUAUCACGCAGAACACCAAUUGCGAAGGCAGAUGCCUAUGUCGUAACUGAAGCUGAGGCACGAAAGCGUGGGGAGCAAACAGG